UUUGUCUCUAUCCAGUUCCCCUCAUGAACAAUUUUGAUACAAUUUGGGGAGAAUCUUGAGGGGGAUUUCAGACUUCCUGAAGAUAUGUCUUUAGAUGAGCAAGAGCCCACUGUUAGCUUCAUUUCUUUCCUUGGCAGUGGGCCCCUCAGCCACCCAUUGUCAGCCAGGUCUGAGAUAUUCUUCAGAUUAUUGUAGAUACUACAGAGGCACAUUAAUAGAACAAGUUCUGGGAAAAGUAUUGAAGGCCCUUACAAUACCCAAAGACCAGGAUGUAGUUUCAGCAAAGUGCAGACGUUAUAAAGUAACUUUGAUUUCAGUGGUCAAGGUUGAACAACAGCUUGGCAAGGUUGAACCUUGACUAUGUGGAUCUUGCAAUGUCAUGACAUGAGUGGUCAAGGUUAAACGACAGCUUGGCAAGGUUGAACCUUGACUAUGUGGAUCUUGCAAUGUCAUGACAUUGACUUUACUUCACCUCAGAUGGUACAAAAAAAAAAUCAAUUUGCGAUUUUCUAAGUGUUGCAACUUGCAAACAUUCAAGAAGAAAGUCUCAUUGCUAAUAUUAGAAAUGCAAUCUGUGAUCCGAAAUUCCAAA